rnacentral:rRNA from 1 species
AGACGGAGGGUGCAAACGUUGUUCGGAAUCAUUGGGCAUAAAGGGCACGUAGGCGGCCCAGUAAGUCAGUUGUGAAAGCCCACGGCUCAACCGUGGAACUGCAUCUGAUACUGCUGGGCUAGAGACUGGUUGGGGUGAGUGGAACUCCUGGUGGAGCGGUGAAAUGCGUAGAUAUCAGGAGGAACACCAGUGGCGAAAGCGGCUCACUGGACCAGUACUGACGCUGAGGUGCGAAAGCUAGGGUAGCGAACGGGAUUAGAAACCCUAGUAGUCC